GACGAACGCUGGCGGCGUGCUUAACACAUGCAAGUCGAACGGAGUGGCGAACGGGAGAGUAACACGUGGGUGAACUGCACUGCACUUAGGGAUAAGCCUGGGAAAAUGGGUCUAAUACCGGAUAGUGUGGGAUGGGCCCGCGGCCAAUCAGCUUGUUGGUGGGGUAAUGGCCUACCAAAGCGGCGACGGGUAGCCGGCCUGAGAGGGUGGACGGCCACAGUGCGACUGAGACACGGCCCAGACUCCUACGGGAGGCAGCAGGGGGGAAUAUGGCACAAUGGGCGGAAGCCUGAUGCAGCGACGCCGCGUUGGGGAUGACGGCCUUCGGGUUGUAAACUCCUUUCACCAUCGACGCGGUAGAUGGAGAAGAAGCACCGGCUAACUACGUGCCAGCCGCCGCGGUAAUAC
rnacentral:rRNA from 1 species